CCUACGGGUGGCAGCAGUGGGGAAUAUUGGGCAAUGGGCGCAAGCCUGACCCAGCAACGCCGCGUGAAGGAAGAAGGCUUUCGGGUUGUAAACCUCUUUUCUCAGGGACGAAGAAAGUGACGGUACCUGAGGAUUAAGCCACGGCUAACUACGGGCCAGCAGCCGCGGGAAUACGUAGGGGGCAAGCGUUAUCCGGAUUCAUUGGGUGUAAAGGGCGUGUAGGCGGGAGCGCAAGUCAGAUGUGAAAACUCAGGGCUCAACCCUGAGACUGCAUUUGAAACUGUGUUUCUUGAGUGCUGGAGAGGCAAUCGGAAUUCGGGGUGUAGCGGUGAAAUGCGUAGAUAUACGGAGGAACACCAGUGGCGAAGGCGGAUUGCUGGACAAUAACUGACGCUGAGGCGCGAAAGCGUGGGGAGCAAACAGGAUUAGAUACCCGGGUAGUC
rnacentral:rRNA from 1 species